CCCAGAGCCGGGCGCUCCCGGUCUCGGCGGGGCUGCCAAGGACCAGGGCACCCGCCGCCUUUGCACUCCAGGCCGCGACGAGCAGGCCAGUCCCGAGAUUCUGAGUGGGUAAUUUCGGAUGAACAGUACAAACAAGCCUGCUCGCUAGCACGGGGCGCUAAGCCAUCAGCGUGGGUACUCUCCAUUCCCCCCACCACCACAGACACACAAUUCAUCUGGAACUCCAACACCUCACUAUGGGUGAGGUGAGACCACAAGCCAAAAGCACACCACGCUGUUCCAUCCCAAAAGGUGGAGAUGAGGAGACUGAGGCUCAGAGAAAGGAAGAUUUGCCCAAGGUCGCACAGGCCUAGCUGGUUCUGAAGAUCAAGAUCCUCCCUCCAUACUUGGCAGCAUCACAGUGGCGUAGCCUUGGGCAGUCCCCACUCCUUUCUUUGGUAUUUGGUUUCUUUGUCCUCAAAAUGAAGACACUGGGCACCCGUCUAGCAAGUACACCAUCCUGGGUUCGAUACCCAGUGCCAAAACAGAU